rnacentral:rRNA from 1 species
UACGUAGGGUGCGAGCGUUAAUCGGAAUUACUGGGCGUAAAGCGUGCGCAGGCGGUUUUGUAAGCCAGAUGUGAAAUCCCCGGGCUUAACCUGGGAAUGGCAUUUGGGACUGCAAGGCUAGAGUGCGGCAGAGGAGACUGGAAUUCCUGGUGUAGCAGUGAAAUGCGUAGAUAUGCGGAGGAACACCGAUGGCGAAGGCAAUCCCCUGGGCCUGCACUGACGCUCAUGCACGAAAGCGUGGGAGCAAACAGG